rnacentral:rRNA from 1 species
UACGUAGGGUGCGAGCGUUGUCCGGAAUUAUUGGGCGUAAAGGGCUCGUAGGCGGUUUGUCGCGUCGGGAGUGAAAACCCAGGGCUUAACUCUGGGCUUGCUUUCGAUACGGGCAGACUAGAGGUAUGCAGGGGAGAACGGAAUUCCUGGUGUAGCGGUGAAAUGCGCAGAUAUCAGGAGGAACACCGGUGGCGAAGGCGGGACUCUGGGCCGAUACUGACGCUGAGGAGCGAAAGCGUGGGGAGCAAACAGG